UUCUUGAGUGUGUACUCGUUAAGCCUUUUAAGAAAAAAGUUAUUAACUUAAGGAAUUAUAACAAAGAAGCAACACGUAAAUGGAUUUUCCAUUUUUUAGUGUGUAUCAAUCGAGUUUCUGACCUAUCAGCUUUUGACGUUAGGGUAUUGGCCUAACAUGGCUAUGACGGGUAACGGGGAAUUAGAGUUCGAUUCCGGAGAGGGAGCCUGAGAAAUAGCUACCACAUCUAAGGAAGGCAGCAGGCGCGUAAAUUACCCAAUUCUAAAGAAGAGAGGUAGUGACAAGAAAUAACAAUACAAGGCCAAUCUGGCUUUGUAAUUGGAAUGAUGGGAACUUAAAACCUUCCCAAAACUCAAUUGGAGGGCAAGUCUGGUGCCAGCAGCCGCGGUAAUUCCAGCUCCAAUAGCGUAUAUUAAAAUUGUUGCAGUUAAAACGCUCGUAGUUGAAUUUCAAAGAAUCGAUAUUUUAAGUAGCACUUUGUAGAUUAAUCCACAUAACUGAUACUACGUAUCGACUUUGUGCGAAUUUUUCUACUUAUGUGUUCUUUUAAUUAAAAUGAUUCUUUUUAAGAUCUUUCUUUUUUGCUUCGGCAUUUUAGGAGAUCUUGUUACUUUGAGUAAAUUAGAGUGUUCAAAGCAAACAGAUUAUAGCAUCUUUAUGCGUUUGAAUACUACAGCAUGGAAUAACAAAAUUGAACAAGUCAGAAUUUUGUUCUUUUUUCUUAUUUUGGCUUAGUUACGAUUAAUAGGAGUAGCUUGGGGGCAUUUGUAUUCAGAUGUCAGAGGUGAAAUUCUUAGAUUUUCUGGAGACAAACAACUGCGAAAGCAUUUGCCUAAAAUACUUCCAUUAAUCAAGAACGAAAGUUAAGGGAGUGAAGACGAUCAGAUACCGUCGUAAUCUUAACCAUAAACUAUGCCGACUAGGC
rnacentral:rRNA from 1 species